rnacentral:rRNA from 2 species
AGAGUUUGAUCCUGGCUCAGGAUGAACGCUAGCGACAGGCUUAACACAUGCAAGUCGAGGGGCAGCGAGGGAGUGGCAACACUUCUGUCGGCGACCGGCGCACGGGUGAGUAACGCGUAUGCAACCUGCCCUUCACAGGGGGAUAACCGGGAGAAAUUCCGACUAAUACCGCAUACGUCCUCCGGGGGCAUCCCCGGGGGAUGAAAGAAUUAUCGGUGAAGGAUGGGCAUGCGUGAUAUUAGGUAGUUGGCGGGGCAACGGCCCACCAAGCCUACGAUAUCUAGGGGUUCUGAGAGGAAGGUCCCCCACAUUGGUACUGAGACACGGACCAAACUCCUACGGGAGGCAGCAGUGAGGAAUAUUGGUCAAUGGACGAGAGUCUGAACCAGCCAAGUCGCGUGAAGGAAGACGGAUCUAUGGUUUGUAAACUUCUUUAGUGCGGGAACAAAGCGGCGUCGUGACGCCGGAUGAGUGUACCGCAAGAAUAAGCAUCGGCUAACUCCGUGCCAGCAGCCGCGGUAAUACGGAGGAUGCGAGCGUUAUCCGGAUUUAUUGGGUUUAAAGGGAGCGCAGGCUGCGAGGCAAGUCAGCGGUCAAAUGUCGGGGCUCAACCCCGGCCUGCCGUUGAAACUGUCUUGCUAGAGUUCGAGUGAGGUAUGCGGAAUGCGUUGUGUAGCGGUGAAAUGCAUAGAUAUGACGCAGAACUCCGAUUGCGAAGGCAGCAUACCAACUCGCGACUGACGCUGAGGCUCGAAAGCGUGGGUAUCGAACAGGAUUAGAUACCCUGGUAGUCCACGCAGUAAACGAUGAAUACUAACUGUUCGGAGGGCGACCUCUGAGUGGUAAAGCGAAAGCGUUAAGUAUUCCACCUGGGGAGUACGCCGGCAACGGUGAAACUCAAAGGAAUUGACGGGGGCCCG